ensembl:lncRNA
CACAAACACAAUGACUCCUGUGACCAGAGUAACAAUUAUAAACAUUAUGGCAAGAAAAAAAUAAAACAUGAGGGUACGAUGUGUUCCACCCUUUCUUUCCCCCAGCUGGAACUUUGUCAAGCAGCAUUGGAGGUCGGUUGGGCUUCGCCAGGGAUACAAGUCAAGCAUUGUUUCCACAAUGGUGUGCCUGUCACUGGUCCAAAGCAAUGAGCCAACCAACCAUCGAUGGAGACUUCCAGAACCAUGAGCUAUGUAUAAGUGUUUUAACUCAAAUAUUUUGUCACAGCAAAGGAAAACUAACACAGUUUUUUAACCCUUAAAUAUUUUCCUUUUAACCAUAUUUAGCAGCACUAACACCUUUACUUUCCUUUUUUUGAAGGUGGUAGUGGUAAAUUUUGGUUAAAUUAAAUUUCCACAACUUUCCUAAAGUAAAAUACAUUAGUCUGUUAAUUGUAAUUUUCAUACAUAUUUCAAUUUCUGCAAAACAGUAAAUUUAUGUUUAUCAGAGCUUUGAAUGUUGAAAUUUAACAUAUGCUACUAAUUAUACUUGCAAAAAUGUUGGUUGUCUUUAUUAAAAAUUAUUUGAAUGGUUAAUGUUCUGCCUUAUUUUUUGUCCCAGGGAUAUUUUCACCAGUAAGUAUGCAUUUUUUAUUUUUAUGCAAAUAAAUGUGACAAUAGGUUUAAUAGAAAUUUGUCUUGCAAGAAAUUUUAAGGGAUAUAUUUAUUUGCAUAUUAAAUAUGGCUGAAUAGUAUCCUUUUUCCAGGACAGUUGACUUUCAAGGCCUCUUUUAGAAGGACAUGCUUUCUAAAGUACUUCAGAACUUUAAAGAGAUUACAUGCAAGCUGUUAAGUGUUUUAGUGUAUCUAAUAAUGAAAACAUUGACUAAAGAAAGUCACACUUUGACACCCUAGUUAGCAAGACAUUCUGACUUAAAUUGCAUGUAUAGGGUCCCAAUACUCAUUGUGUUCCAAGCCAACUCAUUUAUCUAGGUUUUAGAAACCUGAAUAUCAUUUUCUUUUGCACUUUACUAUCUUAAUAUUCACCAGUCUUUCAAGCAAUUAGAGAUUCCUGCUAGUAAACUUAGAUUUUUAGUUUCUGUUUCUAGUAACUCUUACUAAAUCUGUAUUCUUUAACAAAUGAUUACUUCAACAGUCUUCACUUUCACCUUGGAUGUCUUUUCCUGGCUUCCAGUGCAGACCUUUCAGGCUCCUGAUAUGGAUUCACACAGGACACUACAGGGAGCUCCAGGCCUUCAACCUUUGACUGGAUCCUUCAGAUCUCCAGUGUUCAGACAACACUUUUGCACUCUUCCACACAUGACUCUUUGGUUGAAUCCACACAUUAAUCUUAUCCAGAUAUGGAAGGUGGACUAUAUUGUCAAGAAUCUGAUUCCAAUUUGAUCUUCUCUACCUUGGUCUUGUUAAGUCACUCUGUUGUCCAGGCUGGACCCAAGCUAGUGAUCCUCCUGCUUCAGCGUCCCAGAGUGCUGGUAUUACAGGAUCUGGCACUUUGGGACUUCCAGAUCAUCACCAUUCAAAGUGACCAUGAAAGGGAUCAGACUCAGGAACUUGCACCUGUGCACUUGCAAGGCAGGAGGCGGAACCACUGAGCUAAAUCCCCGGCUCUGAUCCAGCUUUUUCUGAGAACAUGUUACCCCUCACUUUAUACGAAUCUGAUACUUCUGUGGACAUAAAGAAUAAAAUAACUGUUAAUAAAGUAUCUUUUAAUUAUGAAAAGGAUACGAUGCGAAAGAAGCAACACACUAUUUACAAAUAUUCUAAGACAUUGGCACUGAGAGGCAUACCACAGGAAGGUGCUAUAUUGGGUUUCAAAGAACUACAUAUUAAACAAUGAUGAAAUCUGUCUCUCCUUAGAGAGUUGUUACCAGCUGUGUUCAGCAAGUGGUGGAUUAUUUUAAGCUUUUAGGUUUCUUGACUGAAGUUGAAAAUAGCUUGAGAUUAUCAAGCAGAAAUCCUUGUCCUUCUCAUUGAAAUAUGCAAACCUAGAAGAUAUGUGAAAUUACAACAGCACUGUAAACAGGUGUAUUAGUCUAUGAUCUGGUAGACUUUUAGAUGAAUGCAAAUUAACUAAAAUACCCUGAAAAGACUUGGGGAAAAAUAAUGGCUCUGGGAAAUGUUUUUUCUUGUUAAUUUUUAUUGAAGUGAAAUUCAUGUCACAUACAAUCAAAUAUUUGAUAAUGUUUUGUCUCUGAUUAUAGCCAUUCUAACUGGGAGGACAUGAUAUCUCACUGUGGUUUUGAUUUGAAUUUUCCUGAUGAUUGAUUAUGUUAAACAUAUUCUUUUAUAUAUUUAUUGAACAUUGGUAUAUCUUCUUUUCAGAAAUGUCUUACUAUUAUUGGCUCAUGUUAAAAUCACACUACUUGUUUUCUUACUAUUGAGUGCUUUGUAUUCUGUAUGUGUUCUGUGUAUUAAUCCCUUGGUACAGGAAUACUCUAGUCUUGUGAGUGGUUUGUUUAUGUGCUGUGCUUUACAGGAGUGUCUUAGUUUUGUAUAGUUUUACAUAGUAUUAUAUAGUCUCACAUGUCUAGGUUUGCUUUUGUUGCUUGCACUUCUGGAAUAUUAUUCAAAGAACCACUAUCUAUAUCGGGGUCUUAAAGUGUCACUCUUGUUUUCUUGUAGUUUCAAACAGUGUUUUUUAACCACUUCUGCUCUGUUUUUCUCAGUUUACUUAGAAAUUAACUGGACAAUUGUAGGAGGAACUAUAAUUGCAGGAUGUUACUGAUAUAUCCUGCAAUGUGUAGGAUAGUCCACUACCAUAAAGAUUUAUUGAAGUUAGAUUCCAAUAAUACUUUUCUCACUGAGACACACUGUGAAUGAAGAUUUCAAAUUUCACAUUGGAUUGACCAAAAGAAAGUAUUUUCAAACUCUGUUAAAAUAGCUUUAAAUAGUACCUGAGAUUGUUUUGCAACCUUCUUUCCAAUCAAACUAAUUUUCCUUUGAAUAAGUAACUAAAAUGAGCCUAAUUCUUACCAAUAUACACAAAAGAAUGAUUUUCUGUAGUUAUAAAUUUAUAUUUUAUUAGAAAAAUUAGAGCUUAAUUACUCAAAACUGAUUGAUGUCAGCCUUGGCCUUCUAGAAAGCUAUACAUUGUUAGGAAAUAAACUCUGUAUUUAAUGGGCAUAGUGUCUUUCCAAAUUUCUAUAGAAACAUUAGUCAUAGAGACCAAAUAGAUUUUUUUUGUUAUCAUUUAUUAGAAGUAGAAUGUGAAUAGAGAAAGAGAAUAUUUCCCUUUCUUGAAGCCAUGUGCCUCCCAAAGUCUCUGGACUACAUAUAGUAGCCAUAAAUUGUCCAUAGGUUCUUGAGGUAAGGAGCUGUUCCUUCUUAGCCCUGUAAUAUAUGCCAUGAGAGUGACCAUUGUUGACUACCUACUACUACUGGGUUUUCCUGGAAAAGGAAGCUUUGAUAGACGCUCUCUAAACCCAGGACCCUCUAUUUCAGUUGCCCACAUGCCCUGUGACACAGCAUCUUACAGGCUCAGGAUGGCUGUAAAGUCUUCCUUGCUCCAAAAUGGAGCCAAACACACCCUCUGGCAUAUCUCAUCUGUGGAGUCAGCGGUCCCCUUUGUCCUCAGUCUCUUAAAGAUGACAUGGCACCAAGGAAACUUGCCUUUGCCCCUAGACCCCUUAUGCACCUGAACAGCCUCUUGAAAUUAACUGAGUGAACAGUCAUAUGCACUUGUUGGUUCUCCAUCAUAUAUGAUGGAGCUAUGGAAUAUUGCUGGUUUUCAUCCAUUAAGGAGAAUUUCCUUGAUAAUGGGUAGGACUCAGAGGCCUUAUAUGCCUGGCCGAACUCUAGACUGUAAUCAUAACACUGGCUCCUCUGGGCAGCAACUGGUCCCAUCAGUGCAUUUUAUGUAUCCAAUAUUCCCCUAGAUCACUCCUACAUCAAAUUCAAGAACUCUGAGAACCUCUUACCUCUCAGAUACCCAGAAUAUAAACCAAAGUAACAGAUAUAGCUAUGUUCUAAGGACACAAUAUGAGAUCUCACAGGGACACUCCUUUUCCCCUUCAGAGCCAGAUAUUACAUACAGUCACUAAGGUACUUAUUUUGCUUCUCAAAACACACAAUGCAGUGCUUUUAAAGAAGGACUCCUACCUCCUCUAUAGGCUCCAGGAAAUGCUUGACUAGAGAAAGAUAAUGAGAUCCUCCAAAAAUUCCUAUUUAAAUUACAAAAUUCCAAGUGGUUGCCCUGCUGCAUUUCUUAUUGCCACAGGCAUUGCUUAGAAACAGAUGCUCUUUUCAUCAGUGUUACACAAUUUUCUUAACUGUCUUAUACGGUCAAUGAGAGCAUCAUCUCUAAAGUUCACAUUUUGACAUCCACCUGCCCCCUGAGCCACCCAGAGGUGGUGAGUGUCUUCCAUACUGAAGUCACUGUUGCUUGUGGAUCAAUAAGAAUGAUUCAACAACUUAUAAGAAAAAUAAAAACCCAUAUAUGAGUAACACAAAAUGUUUCCCAAAUCCUAAAAAACAAAAAAAGCCAAGGCUAUGCUGCCAGAGGACUCAUAUAUUCUUUUCUGCAGUUUGCUAAACAAAUGGGGUCAGUAGCUUUUCAUGAGCUUGAAAAUCUAUUGCUCAUAAUUCUGACCAUUCUAAUCCUCUCUCAUCUUUAAAUAUUUAUUGUGAUUAAUUUAUUGUGUGUCUCAGAAGUCCUCUUUUUCAACCUCUCAAGAUAUUAGUCAUCAGCACGGUAUUUGAGUCAUCAAAUGUGUCAGUUGUAUUAUGAAUCCUAAAAUUUCAUGUGCCAUUAGACCAGUGCUCAAUCUAAUAGCUUUCACUUUGGUGUCAGGUACAAAAUUACUUAAAUUAGUCAUGCACAUCCUGCCGAGGGAACAAGGGGUCACUGAAUCUCCUGUUUACUGUGAGGUCUGCCUGCCACAUCCUCUACAUGUUCAUUCUGUUCCCAAGUGCAACUCCCAUGUAGACCUGCCUAGUGCUCUAUGUUACCCUCUCUUGGGCUUUGAGUAUUCAUGACCAAAAAUCUCCUGUUAAUUUAAUCUCUUUAAUUUUGUGUGUUGUGUGUUCAUCCACUCCCUUGAACCUUGAGGCUGAAUUUCCUCCUUCACCAACAGAGAAUAGAGGAGACCAACAAAAUAGGAUCUCACUGCCUUAAAAUCCCUCUCCUGUCUCUUAAUUAUAUAAUGCAUGCCAUUUUCCCCAUAGGUCUUUUGGUCUGUCCAUGCUGUGAAGCCAGAUGAGGUAUUGCAUCCUUCCUAAUCUCAGAGGAUGGUUGGGGAACACUAAAUCAUAAAAUUUCCAUAGUGAUGACAUAAUUUUAUCUUAUGCCUUCAAUCUUCUCUUCUUCCUCAACUUCAUGCUUGGUAGGUUGUACCUGAUAAUUUUUGCAGAUUGUUGGAAAGGUGAAAAAAAGUUUUUACUCAUGAUGCGGCUUCAGAAAACUCCAUGGAAAAAUUUUACUUGAAUAAUCAACUUUCUCUUUUUCCCAGAAAUUACCAACUCUUAGAGACAACUUUCUGUGUUCUGCAAAGAUAGUUUAGCUUUUCUCUUACUUUCCCUCAAACAAAUACAUUACGUGUACUUCUUGUGUAUAGUAAUUUUUUUUUGGUACCAGAGGUCAAACUCAGUUCCUUGAGCUUGAGAGGCUGGCGCCAGAACCGCUGAGCUAAAUCCCGGCCCCUUUUGUAUAGUAUUGAUUGACAGCCAGAUGUGGAAAAGUUCCUUGACUUUAAAUCAAUAUUCAUUAUAGAACAUGGUGUAAUCACAGAAACAAAUCUUUGGCUAGAAAGAUUUAUGAUUAAAUGAGUUAAUAGUAGCUAAUUGUACACUUUCUAUAGGGAAGAAUCUUCACAUGUGCUAUUUCAUUUCCUACUUAAAACAAAAGGAAAAUCCUAAAAUGACCCCUUUCUUCACUUUAUAUAUGACAAAAUUGAGGCCUAGCAAAGUUAAGUAACUCACUUCAAAGUUCUCAGUCAGAAGCAAAGCCAAGUCCAAAAGCAAGUUGUUUGAUUUCAGAUCUCAAAUACUUUAAUACUUUUACCAUAGAAUUUUCUGAAGUAACAUCAUGAAUAAAAACUUUUUAUCAUCUCCCAACAAUCUGCAAAAAUUAUCGAACACAACCUGCUGAGCAUUAAUACUCUCCCUUCAUUACAAUGACUAGUGGAAAGAAUGCUACAUAUGCUGUGUGGCAGUGCUUCUCUGUCGUUAAUGUAUACAUGAGUUACUAGGGCACCCUAUUGACAUGCAAGCCCACAGACACACUUUAACUAGCAAGGACAAGAGAUCAGAGAAUGGAAAUGAGAGUUUAGAAAGCAAUGCUGAGAUUCUCCUGCUGAUUUGGACACUGCUUCAACUCCUUGCUGGAAAAGAAUUGCACAUCAAAAGUUAAAAUCGAUAUAAAAUAGUGGUUUUAUUCUGGACAUUAUACUAGACACUAAAUAUAAAAAAUGUUCCAUUGUCUCUAAAUGUAAGGAACCUCUAGAGCAAUAGACUCUGAAUCCAAUGUGUUGUUUCCAUUCUGAUCAGAAUGCAUGAAUGUUAUCAAACAUAACUAACACCAUUUUCACAUAACUAACAGCAGCAUAUCUCCAUGGUAUGAUUUGUCCUGCUUCUGAAAAAUUACCUUCCUACAUUAUAAACACUAUCAAUGGUUAUAAUGUUUCAUUCUUUCAUCCAACUAUCCCUAAAUUCUAUUGAAAUAAAAACAUAAAACAUAAUCUUAACGUAUUAAUAUAUAUUUGUGAUGAAAUUGCAUUACUUUUCAUACUCUUACAAUUUUCUCCCAAUUUAUAGAAUAUGUUGGUUAAAAUAAUUAAUUUUAACCAUACAUCUCUAUUAUAAACUUCAUUAUAUGUCUGUGAGUCAUUAAAAAAUAUAUGCUGUUAUAAAAUUUGUAUUCUGGACAGUGUGGCUACUUCCUCUCUCUCAAUUUUAUUAAUUAGGCUACAAAUAUGAAUAAACCAGCUAGUGUAAUGGAUAAAAACUACCAUCAUCAUUAAGGAGAACAAGAAAUCUGUAAAAAUAAGAAUAAUCCAAAUUUAUCUAUUAAAACUGGAUCAUAAAACAGCCCCAAAAUACUAACUAAAAACAAAAUGAAAUAACAUGAACUAAAAAAAACAGUUCAAGUUAUUCACAUCUAUCUUAGAUACAAAUGUUAAUGAAAUACAAGUAUUCACAUACCAUAGGUAGCUUCAUAAUUCUGGAAACAAAAUCCAUUUUCCUGCAAGUGCAAGGUCCCGAGUUCGAUCCCCGGUACCAAAAAAAAAAAAAAAUCCAUUUUCCUAUCAAGUUCUAGAAAAAUCUAUCAUAUCAUAGAAUCUGAUGCUGAUAUGAAAAAAUAAGUACAAUAAUCAAAUCUGAAAGUGAAUACAAGUUCAGAGAAAUGUAUAGUGUAAGUGAACAAAAGUUCAUUGUUAAUCUUAUAGAAUUAGGCUUAUUUAUGUAUUUAUUAUUUAUUUAUUUUUGUUCAUGAAAAGAUUCAAGUCAACCUACACAACUACUUCAUAAGAAUUUCAUGUAAGGAAACUAUGGGAUAAAUAUUCAGAUAUACAUUGCUACAAAUGAUUACAUGACAUUAUGUAUUCUAUUGUAUCUAGCAGUACAUUUUCCAUUGAUUUAGAUACUGACUCCUAUCUUAUCAGCCUUGUUUCAGUAUUUACAAAAUUGAAUACUCAAUAAGCUCUGAUUAUAAUGAAUUUGGAUAUUGCUUAUUGACAUCUCAGUCAAACUGCAGUCAUACUUUUCAGUAGACCCCAUGAAUUGUUUUAAAGAAACCUAAUAUAUUUACUCACGUCUUUAUGUUCUCAGACAAUGGCAGUGAUACAUUUUGUAUGAGUGUGUGUGUGUGUGUGUGUGUGUGUGUGUAUUUUGUGGUUCCUUGCCCAGUUUCUGUGAUAUCUGAUGCUAGCAGAAGUUUAAUAUAAAUAACAUCUAACAAUGUUAGAAACCUUGACUUUUAUGUAUCUGUUAGGUGAUAGAAGGUAGAUAGAAAUUUGCAUUAUGAGAAUACAUAUGGUUUGACAGACUAUUCAUUUCACGCUUUUCUAACAGAGAUGAUACCCAAGAGUUAUGUUUAAAAGUCACCAAAAAUAGGACAUAUAUUUUAUGUUUUUAGAUGAAAAAAAUAACACUAAUCAG